rnacentral:tRNA from 1 species
GCGCGCUUAGCUCAGCGGGAGAGCACUGCCUUCACACGGCAGGGGUCGCAGGUUCGAAACCCGCAGCGCCCACCA